rnacentral:rRNA from 1 species
GUGCUAUACAUGCAGUCGAGCGAACAGACGAGGAGCUUGCUCCUCUGACGUUAGCGGCGGACGGGUGAGUAACACGUGGAUAACCUACCUAUAAGACUGGGAUAACUUCGGGAAACCGGAGCUAAUACCGGAUAAUAUAUUGAACCGCAUGGUUCAAUAGUGAAAGACGGUUUUGCUGUCACUUAUAGAUGGAUCCGCGCCGCAUUAGCUAGUUGGUAAGGUAACGGCUUACCAAGGCAACGAUGCGUAGCCGACCUGAGAGGGUGAUCGGCCACACUGGAACUGAGACACGGUCCAGACUCCUACGGGAGGCAGCAGUAGGGAAUCUUCCGCAAUGGGCGAAAGCCUGACGGAGCAACGCCGCGUGAGUGAUGAAGGUCUUCGGAUCGUAAAACUCUGUUAUUAGGGAAGAACAAAUGUGUAAGUAACUAUGCACGUCUUGACGGUACCUAAUCAGAAAGCCACGGCUAACUACGUGCCAGC